UUGCAUCGAUGAAGAACGCAGCGAAAUGCGAUACGUAAUGUGAAUUGCAGAAUUCAGUGAAUCAUCGAGUCUUUGAACGCACAUUGCGCCCCCUGGUAUUCCGGGGGGCAUGCCUGUCCGAGCGUCAUUGCUGCCCUCAAGCACGGCUUGUGUGUUGGGCCUCCGUCCUCCUCCCGGGGGACGGGCCCGAAAGGCAGCGGCGGCACCGCGUCCGGUCCUCGAGCGUAUGGGGCUUCGUCACCCGCUCUUGUAGGCCCGGCCGGCGCUUGCCGACACAUCAAUCUUUUUUCCAGGUUGACCUCGGAUCAGGUAGGGAUACCCGCUGAACUUAAGCAUAUCAAUAAGCGGAGGAA
rnacentral:rRNA from 1 species